rnacentral:rRNA from 1 species
CAGUCGCCACGGUAAUACGUAGGUGGCAAGCGUUAUCCGGAAUCAUUGGGCGUAAAGCGCGCGCAGGCGGUUUCUUAAGUCUGAUGUGAAAGCCCACGGCUCAACCGUGGAGGGUCAUUGGAAACUGGGGAACUUGAGUGCAGAAGAGAAAAGCGGAAUUCCACGUGUAGCGGUGAAAUGCGUAGAGAUGUGGAGGAACACCAGUGGCGAAGGCGGCUUUUUGGUCUGUAGCUGACGCUGAGGCGCGAAAGCGUGGGGAGCAAACAGGAUUAGAUACCCCGGUAGUCCCUGUCUCUUAUAC